rnacentral:lncRNA from 1 species
AAAAGUCUGGUAAGACUAUCACAAAAAAAAGUUUUUCUUAGGGAAGUUAGUCAAUGGUACAUUUCUCAGAACCCCAUGGUAGUGUCCCUCUCUCUCUCCCUUUUCAAAAUAUGCUAUACAGUAAUAGAUAGGAGUUGAUUCCAUUCCAGAUGGAGGUGAUUCUGGGGCCUCCGAUCAUUGGUCCAACUCCAAGGAGAAGAGAUCCAAGGCUGAGUGGAUGUUCAACAUGAUAAAGCAAAAGGAUCCAGAGUCCAUUUAUCUUAAGCUUGUUGUGAAAUAAAAUGGUGUAUGUAUGGAAGUGUUCAAAGAGGUGUAGCUAUUACAUUCGUUAUUUAUCACACCCUUCCUGCAGCCUGCAAUACAACAAACUAGAGUCCUAUUUGAUCACUGAUUGUAUAAGCUAAAUUAGUAGAGUAUUACACUAUUGGCAAGCAUAUGGUAUGUCAUCUGUUGCACAUGAAUUUUAAUUAUGAGAGUGAGUUAAUUCUUCCUAGUUUGAGUUCCUAAAUAUUCUUGAAUAUUAUUUUGAGAGGAACUAGUCUAUAUAAGUUUUGGGAGAGCACACGAUUUGUAAAAGCAAGGAAAAGUAAACUCGUAUUAUAGUCGUUAUAACAACACUUUAAUUGUUGCAUUUUACAAUGGUUUGAGCUUAAAUAAUAAUGAUUUGUACUAAAUUCAUGUUUUAUGCCUUGCGGGAAG